rnacentral:tRNA from 1 species
UAAAAAUUAGUUUAGUAAAAAUUCUAGUUUGUCAAAUUAGAGAUUUCAUAUGAAUUGAAAUUUUUAU